GUGCUCACUUCGACAGCACAUGUACUAAAACUGGAAUGAUACAGAGAAGAUUCGCACGGCCCCUAAGCGAGGAUGACACGCAAAUGUGUGAAGCGUUUCAUAUUAAA